rnacentral:rRNA from 1 species
UGCCAGCAGCCGCGGUAAUACAGAGGGUGCAAGCGUUGUUCGGAAUUAUUGGGCGUAAAGCGCGUGUAGGCGGCUUUGUGUGUCGGGUGUGAAAGCCCUCGGCUUAACCGAGGAAGUGCGCCCGAAACUGCAGAGCUUGAGUGCCGGAGAGGAUAGCGGAACACCCGGUGUAGAGGUGAAAUUCGUAGAUAUCGGGUAGAACACCAGUGGCGAAGGCGGCUAUCUGGACGGACACUGACGCUGAGACGCGAAAGCGUGGGGAGCAAACAGGAUUAGAUACCCUGGUAGUCCACGCCGUAAACGAUGAGAACUAGGUGUUGUGGGUGUUGACCCCCGCAGUGCCGACGCUAACGCAUUAAGUUCUCCGCCUGGGAAGUACGGCCGCAAGGCUAAAACUCAAAGGAAUGAC